ACCGCGUGGAUUCAUUUGACGGUUCACCGAACGAACGAACAUACAUCUGCAAAUUCCUCCUAACUCCUAAGAUUCGGCGAGUUGUUUUGUUCCACUUGAGAGUGAGGAAUGAAGAAGCUGAUCUUGCAUUCGCAUCUCUCACUGCUUCUCAUUUAUUGUCAGGUUUUAGGUUCCACAACAAUAGCUUCUCUUUCCAUCUGUCUUUGCACAAAUGGCUGCAAUCUUAGCUCGGAAAUCACUUCUUGCUCUUCGAACACUCCAACUGGCUGUAAGUGGUCAAGGGCUACACAACUUCCAAAACUAUGGCCUGCCAUUAAGUGCACAGUCCUACUCUACCAAAAAAGAGGAUGAAGAAAGGGAGCAACUUGCAAAGGAAAUUUCAAAGGAUUGGAGUUCUGUUUUUGAGCGUAGCAUCAACACAUUUUUUCUCACUGAAAUGGUUGGAGGUUUAAUGCUGACACUGAAAUACUUCUUUGAAACAAAAGUUACAAUUAACUAUCCUUUUGAGAAAGGCCCUUUGAGCCCUCGUUUCCGCGGUGAACAUGCACUCCGACGAUAUCCAACAGGGGAGGAACGUUGCAUUGCUUGCAAACUCUGUGAAGCUAUAUGUCCUGCUCAAGCGAUUACAAUUGAGGCUGAGGAAUGAGAAGACGGCAGCCGCAGGACAACUCGGUAUGAUAUUGACAUGACCAAGUGCAUCUAUUGUGGAUUUUGUCAAGAGGCAUGCCCUGUUGAUGCCAUUGUUGAAGGGCCAAACUUUGAAUUUGCUACAGAGACUCAUGAGGAGCUUCUAUAUGACAAAGAGAAGCUGCUUGAAAAUGGGGACCGAUGGGAAACUGAAAUUGCAGAGAACCUGAUAUCUGAAAGCCUUUAUCGCUGAUAAUUUCCGCGUGCUCCUUGGCUGUUGCUUUUUUGGAUCUAAUUGAGUAAUGACGAAUAAAAUGAUCAGUAAAUGGUUUUAAAAUAACUGCAUGGAUUUAUGGUUGUUACAUCAUUUUUAUUUUUUUUUCCCCCAUCUUUUGCAUUGCUGGUAAGAAAACUAUAGUGGCGAGCUUUUCUUCUUGAUCGUCCUUUUAGUUCAUUGAAGACAUUGAGGAUUCGAUGAUUACCAGCAUGUAUCUAUCCGAUAAAAGGGAGAAUGGUGCAUUCUGCAAUUAGGCGUGUGUACGACUAAAUUAGAUCAGCUUGGUAAUUCGUAAUAAGGUAUGAGUAUGUCUUAAUACUAAUGCCCUUUUGUUUAAUCAGAAAUUUUGAACAACUCUUUUUAUUUCAA